rnacentral:rRNA from 1 species
UACGUAGGGGGCAAGCGUUGUCCGGAUUUAUUGGGCGUAAAGAGCGUGUAGGCGGCCAGGUAGGUCUGCUGUGAAAACUCGAGGCUUAACCUCGAGCUGUCGGCGGAAACCAUCUGGCUAGAGUCCGGAAGAGGAGAAUGGAAUUCCCGGUGUAGCGGUGAAAUGCGCAGAUAUCGGGAAGAACACCCGUGGCGAAGGCACUUUACUGGGCUAUUACUAACACUCAGAGACGAAAGCUAGGGUAGCAAAUGGG